rnacentral:rRNA from 1 species
GAGUAUGGCCAUACCACCCUGAACGCGGCUGACCUUGUCUGAUCUCAGAAGCUAAGCAGUGUCGGGCCUGGUUAGUACUUGGAUGGGAGGAAUAGAUCUUGAAUUUU